rnacentral:rRNA from 1 species
AUUGAACGCUGGCGGCAGGCCUAACACAUGCAAGUCGAACGAGUGGCGGACGGGUGAGUAAUGUCUGGGACACUGCGCGAUGGAGGGGGAUAACUACUGGAAACUGUAGCUAAUACCGCAUACCCUCGGAUGUGCCCAGAUGGGUUUAGCUAGUGGGUGGGGUAAUGGCGCACCUAGGCGACGAUCCCUAGCUGGUCUGAGAGGAUGACCAGCAACACUGGAACUGAGACACGGGCCAGACGCCUACGGGAGGCAGCAGUGGGGAAUAUUGCACAAUGGGCGCAAGCCGGAUGCAGCCAUGCCGCGUGUGUGAAGAAGGCCUUCGGGUUGUAAAGUACUUUCAGCGAGGAGGCGGUACUCGCAGAAGAAGCACCGGCUAACUCCGUGCCAGCCGCCGCGGUAAUUC